AAAAUGUUUUCAGCUCCUGGAGGCGAAAGGUGCAGAGUCGCUCUGUGUCCGUGAGGCCGGGCGGCGACCUCGCUCAGUCGGCUUCUCGGUCCGAGUCCCCGGGUACGAGGAAAGACCACAGGGGGCUUCUCGCGGAAAAGCGGGCCGCGGACCCUGCGCGGGCUGGCUGGGGCGGGCGGAUGACGAGGCGCAGGGGCAAGGGUGGGUCUGCGAGGCGGCGGGUCCGGGCGUCUUAGGCUCCGGGGCUCCCUCGCUGGCGGCGGAGCAGGGAUGGCGCGCCCGGGGGUCUGGAUGCUGGUAGCCGGCUUCCUGCUGGCGCUGCCGCCGAGCUGGGCCGCGGGCGCCCCGAGGGCGGGCAGGCGCCCCGCGCGGCCGCGGGGCUGCGCGGACCGGCCGGAGGAGCUACUGGAGCAGCUGUACGGGCGCCUGGCGGCCGGCGUGCUCAGUGCCUUCCACCACACGCUGCAGCUGGGGCCGCGUGAGCAGGCGCGCAACGCGAGCUGCCCGGCAGGGGGCAGGCCCGCCGACCGCCGCUUCCGGCCGCCCACCAACCUGCGCAGCGUGUCGCCCUGGGCCUACAGCUCAGUUUCCAUCACCUCUAAUCAUCCCUGGAGGACUCGUCCUUUGUUCCUGGAUUAAGCCGGGCCACCUGUCACUCGCUCAAGCCAAGCUUCCCACGUGGCCAGGGACACUUCUGCGAUCCCAUCAGAGGGGAAAACUUGAUGUGUUUCAAGAAUGCCCUGGUGCCAAGCUUCUGCAGAGCAGCACGCAGAAAAUGUGAAGACAAAAGAAUGACUGCCCACAGGAGGCGCGGCACAGGGCAGAACUCUGCUCGGUUGCUUGUCCGUGUUUGAAUCUCCUACGACCCGGCGAGGUACCCCAGGUACCUGCCUGAAGCCUACUGCCUGUGCCGGGGCUGCCUGACCGGGCUGUUCGGCGAGGAGGACGUGCGCUUCCGCAGCGCCCCUGUCUACAUGCCCACCGUCGUCCUGCGCCGCACCCCCGCCUGCGCCGGCGGCCGUUCCGUCUACACCGAGGCCUACGUCACCAUCCCCGUGGGCUGCACCUGCGUCCCCGAGCCGGAGAAGGACGCAGACAGCAUCAACUCCAGCAUCGACAAACAGGGCGCCAAGCUCCUGCUGGGCCCCAACGACGCGCCCGCUGGCCCCUGAGGCCGGUCCUGCCCCGGGAGGUCUCCCCGGCCCGCAUCCCGAGGCGCCCAAGCUGGAGCCGCCUGGAGGGCUCGGUCGGCGACCUCUGAAGAGAGUGCACCGAGCAAACCAAGUGCCGGAGCACCAGCGCCGCCUUUCCAUGGAGACUCGUAAGCAGCUUCAUCUGACACGGGCAUCCCUGGCUUGCUUUUAGCUACAAGCAAGCAGCGUGGCUGGAAGCUGAUGGGAAACGACCCGGCACGGGCAUCCUGUGUGCGGCCCGCAUGGAGGGUUUGGAAAAGUUCACGGAGGCUCCCUGAGGAGCCUCUCAGAUCGGCUGCUGCGGGUGCAGGGCGUGACUCACCGCUGGGUGCUUGCCAAAGAGAUAGGGACGCAUAUGCUUUUUAAAGCAAUCUAAAAAUAAUAAUAAGUAUAGCGACUAUAUACCUACUUUUAAAAUCAACUGUUUUGAAUAGAGGCAGAGCUAUUUUAUAUUAUCAAAUGAGAGCUACUCUGUUACAUUUCUUAACAUAUAAACAUCGUUUUUUACUUCUUCUGGUAGAAUUUUUUAAAGCAUAAUUGGAAUCCUUGGAUAAAUUUUGUAGCUGGUACACUCUGGCCUGGGUCUCUGAAUUCAGCCUGUCACCGAUGGCUGACUGAUGAAAUGGACACGUCUCAUCUGACCCACUCUUCCUUCCACUGAAGGUCUUCACGGGCCUCCAGGUGGACCAAAGGGAUGCACAGGCGGCUCGCAUGCCCCAGGGCCAGCUAAGAGUUCCAAAGAUCUCAGAUUUGGUUUUAGUCAUGAAUACAUAAACAGUCUCAAACUCGCACAAUUUUUUCCCCCUUUUGAAAGCCACUGGGGCCAAUUUGUGGUUAAGAGGUGGUGAGAUAAGAAGUGGAACGUGACAUCUUUGCCAGUUGUCAGAAGAAUCCAAGCAGGUAUUGGCUUAGUUGUAAGGGCUUUAGGAUCAGGCUGAAUAUGAGGACAAAGUGGGCCACGUUAGCAUCUGCAGAGAUCAAUCUGGAGGCUUCUGUUUCUGCAUUCUGCCACGAGAGCUAGGUCCUUGAUCUUUUCUUUAGAUUGAAAGUCUGUCUCUGAACACAAUUAUUUGUAAAAGUUAGUAGUUCUUUUUUAAAUCAUUAAAAGAGGCUUGCUGAAGGA